GGACACGGUAAGGAUUGACGGACUGAAGGCUCUUUCUCGAUUCCGUGGAAAGUGGUGCAUGGCCGUUUUUUGGUUGGUGGAUCGAUCCGUCUGGUUAAUUCCGUUAACGAACGAGACCUCGGCACUCCGAAUAGCGCGGCGGACGUCGCGGCCUCCGGGCCGUCUUCCGCACGAGCUUCUUAGAGGGACCGUCCCCCGCCGGGGAAGGAGGUGCGAGGCAACGACAGGUCUGUGAUGCCCUUAGAUGUUCUGGGCCGCACGCGCAUUACACUGACGCGUCCAACGGGUGACUCCCGACCCGAAGGGGCCGGGGAAUCCGCAAGGCGCGUCGUGAUGGGGAUUGAACGUUGCAAUUGUUGUUCACGAACGAGGAAUUCCUAGUAGGCGCGGGUCAUCAACCCGCGCCGAUUACGUCCCUGCCCUUUGUACACACC
rnacentral:rRNA from 1 species